rnacentral:rRNA from 1 species
AUUGAACGCUGGCGGCAUGCCUUACACAUGCAAGUCGAACGGCAGCACGGGUGUUGGCACUUGGUGGCGCGUGGCGCACGGGUGUGUAAUCCAUCGGAAUAUGUCCUGGUGUGGGGGAUAGCCCGGCGAAAGCCGGUUUAAUACCGCAUACGAUCUACGGAUGAAAGCGGGGGACUCUCGGGCCACGCGCUAAAGUGAUGCUCGAUGGCUGAUUAGCUAGUUGGUGGGGUAAAGGCCUACCAAGGCGACGAUCAGUAGCUGGUCUGAGAGGACGAACAGCCACACUGGAACUGAGACACGGCCCAGACUCCUACGGGAGGCAGCAGUGGGGAAUUUUGGACAAUGGGCGAAAGCCUGAUCCAGCAAUGCCGCGUGUGUGAAGAAGGCCUUCGGGUUGUAAAGCACUUUUGUCCGGAAAGAAAGCCUUGGCCCUAAUACGGUCGUGGGAUGACGGUACCGGAAGAAUAAGCACCGGCUAACUACGUG